UCAUUUUUGAGAAAGAAAGAGAGAUGGGAGGAGUAGAGAGAAAAGGAGAUACAGAACCCAAAGCAGGCUCCAGGCUCCGAGCUGUCAGCACAGAGCCUGGCACGGGGCUCGAACUCACGAACCAUGGGGUCAUGACCUAAGCUGAGGUUGGAGGCUUAACCAACUGAGCCACCCAGGCACCCCCAUGAUGAAUCCUUUUUAAGUGAUUAAUUCUAAUUGGGAACUAAUGGAAACUUCUGUAUCACAGAAGUGUAAAUAUUUUGUAUCUAUUUGGUUAACACACUACCAAAAGGUAAAUUUUAAAAGGGGGAGAAAGGGGGCUCCUGGCUGGCUCAGUAGAUAGACCAUGCAGCUCUUGGUCUUGGGGUGGUGAGUUCAAGCUCCACGUUGAGUACAGACUUUAUUUAAUAAAGAAUUUUUUUUCUAGGCUGGGGAGGGGGGGAAGACCUGAAAAACAAUUCACUAAAAACAGUAUAAAGAGAGCCCUUAUGGAUAUGAAAAAAUAUUCAAACCCAUUCAUUAUUAGAGAAAUGCAAAUUAAAACAGAACUGAGAUGCCGUAGCCAGACAAAUCCACAUUAUUUUUUUUGUGUGAGUGUGAUAAGAGCACUUAACACAAGAUGUAGCCUCGAAGCAAAAUGUUGAGUAUGUAACAGAGCACUGUUAACUCUAGGCACUGUACUGCACAGUAGAUCUCUAAGACUUGUUCAUCUCGUAUAAUGAAAUCUUUGCACCUUUCACUAAUGCAUCCCUGAUUCACACUCCGCCCAGCCAUUCUGCGUCUGAAUCCACCACUCCACACUCUGCUUCUAAGGAUUUGACUAGCGUAGAUCUCACUCAGCAUAAGAUCUUCUAGAUUUAACCAGGUUGUGGCAAAUGGCAUGAUUUCCCUCCUUUUUAAAGGAAUUUCCAUUGUAUAUCAAUGCCCUACUUUCUUUAUCCAUUCAUCUGCUGGUGGACAUUUAGAUUGCUUCCAUGUCUUAGCUAUUGUGAAUAAUGCUUCAGUGGACAGGACAAUGCAGAUAUCUCUUUGAGAUUCUGAUUUCAAUUCCUUUAGAUAUACUCAGAUAUAGGAUUGCUGGAUUUGUGGCACUUCUAUUUUUAAUUUGUUGAGAAAUCUCCAUACUGUUUAUCAUAAUGGCUGUAGCAAUUUACAUUCUCAGCAACAGUAUACAAGAGUUCUCCUUUCUCUACAUCUUCAACAAAAUUUAUCUUUUGUGUUUUUUUUUUUAAUAAUAGCCAUCCUGAUAGGUGUGAGGUGAUAGCUCAUUGUAGUUUUGAUUUGCAUUCGAAAAUCAAAGUAUGAUUAAUGAUGCUGAGGACUUUUUCAUAUGGCUGUUGGCCGUUUGUCAAUCUUCUUCAGAGAAAUGUCCAUUCAGGUCUUCGCCCAUCCUUUAAUCAGAUUAUUUGGGUUCUCAUGCUAUUGAGCUGUAGCGUUCUUUAUACACUUUGGAUAUUAACCCUUUAUCAGAGAAACUCUUUGCAAAUAUGUUCUCCCGUUCCAUAAGUUGCCUUUUCAUUUUGUUGAUGGUUUCCUUUGCCAUGCAGCAGCUUUUUAGUUUGAUAUAGUCCUAUUUAUGUAUUUUUGCUUUUGUUGUCUGUGCUUUUGGUGUAAUAUUCAAGAUAUCAUUGGGUAAUAGUCCCUUUUGAUCUUUUUUAUUCCCAUGGCAUUGGUUUUAAUGCCUUCUCUUUCAUUUAUGAUUUUAUUUGCAUCGUCUUUUUAUUAGCCUAAAGUUUUCUUGGUAUUGUUUAUCUUUUUAAAAAUUUAACUUAGUAUCAUUGAUAUCUUCUAUUACUUCAUAUUUUCUAUUUCAUUUAAGCUCUAAUCUUUAUUAUUUUGUUUUUUUCCUAACUUCAGACUUAGUUAUUUUUCUAAUUCCUUGAAGUGUGACAUGAGGUUGUUAUUUGAGAUCUUUCUACUUUUUUAAUAUAGGUGUUUAUUGCUGUAAACUUCCUUCUUAGUACUGCUUUUACUGCAUCCCAUAAAUUUUGGUAUAUAGUGUUUUUAUUUUUUGUUUGUCUCAAUAUAUUUUCUAUUUCCCUGAUGAUUUUUUGUUUGACCCAAUGGCUGUUCAAGAGUGUCUUGUUUAUCUCCAUAUAUUUGUGAUUUUUCUGUCUUCCUUUUGUUACUGAUUUCUGAUCUCCUUCCACUGUUGUAAGAAAAGAUACUUGGGGUGAUUUCAAAAGUUAAGAAUUUUUUUGUGACUUAGUAUGGGAUCUCUCCUGGGUAUUGUUCUGUGUGUACUUGAGAAGAAUGUGCAGUCUCUGGCUGGUGGGUAGAAUGUUCUUUAUAUGUUCUUUUAGGUCCAUUUGGUCUAAAGUGUUAUUCAAGUCUGCUGUUUCCUUAUUAAUUUUCUGUGUGGAAGAGAUCUAUUCAUUAUUGGAAGUGUAGUCUUUAAAGUCUCCGAAUAUAAUUGUAUUGCUUUCUAUUUCUCCCUUAAGAGUGUCAGUGUUUGUUUUAUAUAUUUAGGUACUCUGAGCUUGGGUGCAUAUAUAUUUAUAAUUAUUCUUUCUUGUUAGUAAAUUGACUCUUUAAUCAUUAUAUAGUGACCCACUUUUUUUCUCUUACGGCAGUUUUUUACUUAAAGUCUGUUUGUUCGAUGUAAGUAUAACCACCCCUGCUCUUUUGGUUACCAUUUGCACGGAAUAUCUUUUACAAUACCUUCACGUUCAGCCUAGGUGUGUCCUUAAAUCUAAAGUGUCAUAAACAUAGAGCACCCCGUUUUUUUUAUUCAUUUAUUCAGUCUGUGUCUUUUGAUUGGGGAGUUUAAUUCAUUUACACUUAAAGUAAGUAUUCUUAGGUAAGGAUUUACCUUUUAAUUGGACUCCACACCUUUUAACAGUGGUAACAACUUAAAUUUAAAACACUACACUUUUACUUACCCCACUCACACACACCUACGUUAUGCCAUUGAUGGGAGAAUUGACCUUCUAUACUGUGUAUCCAUUAACAAAUUUUUCUGGUAAUAGUCAUUAUUAAAAAUUUUUUUAUGGUAAAAACCUUUUGUUAACACCCUUCAUACUCAUGAGGAGGGUAAUAAAAGUUGAAUUCAGACAGUUUUUAUCCGUAACUGAAACUUACCAUCUUGAUCAGUUGACAUCAGACUUCACAUAGCCCAGUUACAUUUACAAAACAGAGUAACCAGUCUUUUCAAAGCAUGGGAUUAGUAUAGACUCAAACAUUUUGAUAGUCUAUCCUUGAAGGACUAGGAGAAAAGUAUGUUCUAAUCGUUUACAUGAGGACUCUAUGUUCUUUAACUCCCCUUACUAUGUAUUAAAUUUGUAGUUCCCACAUUAAAGAAGACCUGAGAACGUAUCCCCAAAAGUGUGAGCUUAAAAUACAAGACUGCCAUAUUAAAAUUUUUGUUGACAUUAGAUCUAGCAAAGGCUCUAGGGGAAAAAAAAAGUGCUGACUGUAAAUGCCUUCUAUUUAUGUACAUAAGGAUUUCUUAGGAAGCUUGAUGCUCCAUUAAAGGUAUUUUUAAUUCAUUGGGCCAACUUCUAAAAUGUAUGGCACAUUUAAAACCUAUACCAUAGUUUGCUUCUUUAUAUAAAUCAAAUAGACCUAAAGGAAGUAGACACUUCAAUCUUUGUAUUUCAGUAUGAGUUAUCUGAUUUGGAUUUGAUUUUUCUUUAUAAAACCCACACUCACUCAUUAGAGUCAUAUUUAUCUACUUAGCAGUUUAGGGAAGAACUUGGCAAUUUUGUGGUUUUUGAGAUUAUCAUUCUCUUAAAGUGCCAGUGUUUUAAAAUAGUGUUCUUGUAUGCAAUUUUACAGGCUUUUGUGGUGGAGUGCUGUUUUGUUAUAUAAUUUUGACUUGGAUUCUUUCAAUUUGCAUUUGUUUGUGUAAUUUCAGGAGAAAUACUGAACAUCUGAGUCCUGGGUGAUACUAAUAAACUAAUAAUUGCAGAGGUUUUUUCUUUUAAAAAAUACUUUCCUGGGGUUCCUGGGUGGCUCAGUCGGUUGAGUGUCUGACUUUAGCCCAGAUCAUGACCUCACGGCUUGUGGGUUCAAGCCCCGUGUCAGGCUCUGCCCUGACAGCUCAGAGCCUGGAGCCUGCUUCGGAUUCUGUGUUACCCUAUCUGCCCCUCCCCCACUCAUGCUCUGUCUCUCUCUCUCUGUCUCUCUCUCUCUCUCUGUCUCUCUC